UACGGGGGGGGCAAGCGUUGUUCGGAAUUACUGGGCGUAAAGGGCUCGUAGGCGGCCAACUAAGUCGGAUGUGAAAUCCCCAGGCUUAACCUGGGAACUGCAUCCGAUACUGGUUGGCUUGAAUCCGGGAGAGGGAUGCAGAAUUCCAGGUGUAGCGGUGAAAUGCGUAGAUAUCUGGAGGAAUACCGGUGGCGAAGGCGGCAUCCUGGACCGGCAUUGACGCUGAGGAGCGAAAGCCAGGGGAGCAAACGGG
rnacentral:rRNA from 1 species